rnacentral:lncRNA from 1 species
ACUGUCUGAGACCCGCGCAGCAUUGGCGGCUGUGGGAGGAAAGGCUCAUGCUUCAGGGGGGAAGCCCAAGGCCCGGGAGCCUCAGAGGAGGGAGACUUGGCAAGAGUUAACCUUCUGUCCCCAGAGCCAGUGUCUACAUUAACUCUUAAGGGGGACGGCUACAGUUUAUUUGAAUAAUCUUAGAGUUAGAGGUACCAGAUGUUGCCAGGCUUGUGUUAGAGAAGCCAGGCCCUCUGCAGAGAGGUCCACAUGCAAGAUAAAAACACACUGAGCCCUCUCUCCUGCCUUCCUACUCAGCCAAAAGCCUGACUACUGACUGUCACACUGAAUAGGUCAAACCUUAGCCAAGCCCAUUCCCCUCCUCAGAGAAUGAACGACCUCUGUGUAGUAACCAAGGUCACAUAUGCCUCAACACCCCCUUGAGUAAUACAGCAAAGGUUUCAUGUUAACCAAGUGUACUUCCUCCAAAUGCCACUUUCCCACCGCUCCCAUGGGCUCUGGUCUCAGACCUGUGCAGAGGAGCUGGGGAGCAGCGUGUUCCGGGGCAGUGUGUAUGGUGGGUAUGAAUGAUUUGCAAGACU